GGCAUUCUGCUGGGGUGAAUGACCUGAUGUUUCUUCUAUUUUUUAAUCCACAGCCCCUCGCUCGGACAUGGUGAACAGGUGGUGGUAGUGUGGGCGCUACCUCAACAGUCAGAGGCAGGUAGCCCCACCAGAGACCCAAUUGUUGGUACUGAAUGGAAGGCAAAUCUGUUGGUGAAUAAGAAGGCAGAUUAGUUGUGGGUGGAAGAGAGCAGAUCUGCUGUGGGGUGGAGCGGGCGGGCGGGCGAGGUCCCAGCAUGAAGUGGAUGCCCUGUCAAGGUAUGCCGCUAAACAAACAUGCCACACACACACAACAGAGUUGGUGCAAGACGUUUAUCAGGAAGGGCAGAGCGAAAGAGUGAGAGAGUGAAGGAGUGAAAGACCGCGUUGGAGUGGGGACUCGGGAGAGGCAGGCAGAUGAGAGGGAAGAGAAGCAAAAGAGAAAAGAAGAGGCAAGAGAGGGAAUUGGAGGUAAGGAGAGGAAUAAGAGGCAAGAGACGAGGCAAAGAGAAUGUUGGGCUCUGCCUGGCGGGCACUUUUGAAGGGUGCACAUGCCGUGGAAAAGGAUCGGGCGACAGGUGAGGAUGUAACUGCUUUAGCAGAGACUGGGCAGGGGAAACGCAGCUUAACAGGGAGGCACAGACGCAGGCUUCGUAGCUAGCAGGAGCUGAGUAGAGCAGGAAGAAGGAACAGAGAGAAGGGCUUGGAGAAAGCUUGAGAACAGGGUACCCCCGUCCAUCUAUCGGAUUGCUGGCAGAAGUUGGAAAGGUCCUGUGAAAUAUCGGGGUAUGGGGUGCGGGUAAGUGGCCAUUUGAGUUGUUAUCUAAGGGGUAUUGGGGCAAAGGCGGAUAAGUUUAGCCCUUAAGUCAGGUGGUAGGUAUGGUGGUAGGCCAAUUUUCUAUGAGUGGGGUAGAGAAGAUCCAAGGGCUGGAAUCACUAGCGUCCUAGAAAUUCAGUGAGGACUGAGAGGGAGGCACAGGCUGCUCAGUGGAUCAUCAUCCAAAAAAGCAGGGGCGGAUGGGUUAAGAGCCCGAGUGAGACACAGUCGCCUGCUAUCAGGACUUCGAGAAAAAGCCAGAAGGUGAGGACUGCGCUCGAGAAACGAAGCCUCACUCGUGGGAAAUGGCCAGAAGUGAAGAAGGGGGGCGUACCAAUCGUCGGUGUUGGAUGGAGAGUCCCAGGGAUCCCUUAGGUGGGAAAGUCGGGCUGUCACGUGUGGACCAGGUUUCAGGGUCCCGGCAGGUCUCAGACUGCUGGGAGAGCCUAUCCGCGUCAUAGCACCGUAGGUUGUAUUUUAAAAGUGGCAGGAAGGAGUCACGCCAUACAACAGGGCCCGUGUGGGAGGUUUAUUGAGGGGAGGGGAGAGAAGGGGCAGAGAAGGGGGUAGAGACCGGUCCCUGGGGACGAGAGCGAAGGAAGAGAAAGAGAAAGAGACAGGGGUGGGCAAGGCCCGCCUUUUCUAAGGAACUGCAGCGAAUGCGCACAGGGGGUGCUCUUAGUGGUUGCAGCUGAGGAUGUACCCUGUCAGGACCCUAAGGGCAGGCCGGUACAGAUGCCUGAAUGGGAACAGUGUCUACUCUGGAUUCUCCCAGAUAUCCCUGUUCCUUCCCUCGGGCUAUGUCCUCUCAUACAUCUGUAAUAGACUUUCUCCUCCACCACAGCUAGGAGCAGCCAGGUCCUUUCUUAUUUCUUUUUUUCAUUCAGACAUGCCACCCAUUCUUCCUCAAAGAACUAAAAAUACACAUACAUGAAAUGUUACCAACAGGCGAAGAGGAGCUAGCGUUGGGAGGUAGAGGGGGGGACCUGAAGCUGUCCCCAGGCUAAGCGAGGACAUUGAGCAUCUUAACACUUCAGCAACAGAACCUGCUACGCCAAAAGUGACACAGGCGGUCUCCUUGCUUUGCAGCCAGAGACCUGGCCGCCGCUUCCCUUCCUGACACGGUAUGUGCAAAAAGUUGGCUUUUCUCUUCUUGAGAAGAAAAGGGGUCCCAUUUUUAUGUUUAUCGGAUGAAGCAAAUCUGUAGGCUAAGACAGUAAAUUCUCCGGGUAGGACUCUAGGGCAAUGACUGAGCUGGGUCGGAGCCUGAUCUCACUCUUGUCCCAGCAAAUGGCAGCAGGCCAUGCGGAUGGCUGGGAGGAGGGAGGUAUGAAGGAGGGACCUGAGAGUUGUCGCUUAUCACCUAUUUGAGACUCUCCUGGGACAUCAAACUUUUGCAGGUAAGGCAACAGCUGCGGAUAAGAAGUCUGUCUCUUUACCCACUGGUUUCUUCAGCGACAGAGUAGUGGGCAGGCCAGCAGUAAGCCUUGUGGGUAGGCUCCCCUCAGCCCAGUUAUAAGCCCACAGGACCACUCUCAGCUGGGGAGUGGACUCACCCUAGUCUCCUUUCUGUGGUCAGGUGGCUCAUUUGAGCAUCUAAGGAAGCCCCUGCCGGGAUGCUUUGUGCCUGAGAACAAAGCCCUCUCCCAGCUCUCACUACAGAUAAGCCAGCUGCUGCACCAGAACGACAGACUCUCUGAUUCUCUCCCAUCAACUGGAACAACCUCCAAGACAGAACCUUUGUCCUUCCAGGACAGUUAUUAAACUGAGGAUUGUACUAGUUGCUGUUUUAAGAACACCUCAUGGACCGACUCAUGGUAGAGGACAUCUGUGAUCCAGCAGUAGGAGGCAGAGAAAACUAGGAGUCCAAGCAAGCCACACACUCUUCCAACAGCAUAGAUAGACAUCUUCCAGUUCCUUUCCCCCUUUCUGGGUCUGGGCACAGAAGGUUACCGAUUAAUCUAGAGUGGCUCCUGUCUCUGCCUCCCGAGUGGCAGAAUUCCAAGCUCGUACCACCACACCCAGCAUUUCUAUGAAGACUCACCAGGGAUCGGCUCGGCUCGCUGCUGAUUGCCACUAUCAAUGCUCCCACCGGGCCAUUGAUCCUGUGUAUUUAUACAAUCUGGAGGUAAGUAUGUGGGGUCACAGUGGCAAUUCUUCUUGUUAU